rnacentral:rRNA from 1 species
GAAACCGUGUGCUUACAAGUAGUCAGAGCCCGUUAAUGGGUGAUGGCGUGCCUUUUGUAGAAUGAACCGGCGAGUUACGAUUUGAUGCAAGGUUAAGCAGUAAAUGUGGAGCCGUAGCGAAAGCGAGUCUGAAUAGGGCGUUUAGUAUUUGGUCGUAGACCCGAAACCAGGUGAUCUACCCUUGGUCAGGUUGAAGUUCAGGUAACACUGAAUGGAGGACCGAACCGACUUACGUUGAAAAGUGAGCGGAUGAACUGAGGGUAGCGGAGAAAUUCCAAUCGAACCUGGAGAUAGCUGGUUCUCUCCGAAAUAGCUUUAGGGCUAGCCUCAAGUGAUGAUUAUUGGAGGUAGAGCACUGUUUGGACGAGGGGCCCCUCUCGGGUUACCGAAUUCAGACAAACUCCGAAUGCCAAUUAAUUUAACUUGGGAGUCAGAACAUGGGUGAUAAGGUCCGUGUUCGAAAGGGAAACAGCCCAGACCACCAGCUAAGGUCCCAAAAUAUAUGUUAAGUGGAAAAGGAUGUGGCGUUGCCCAGACAACUAGGAUGUUGGCUUAGAAGCAGCCAUCAUUUAAAGAGUGCGUAAUAGCUCACUAGUCGAGUGACACUGCGCCGAAAAUGUACCGGGGCUAAACAUAUUACCGAAGCUGUGGAUUGUCCUUUGGACAAUGGUAGGAGAGCGUUCUAAGGGCGUUGAAGCAUGAUCGUAAGGACAUGUGGAGCGCUUAGAAGUGAGAAUGCCGGUGUGAGUAGCGAAAGACGGGUGAGAAUCCCGUCCACCGAUUGACUAAGGUUUCCAGAGGAAGGCUCGUCCGCUCUGGGUUAGUCGGGUCCUAAGCUGAGGCCGACAGGCGUAGGCGAUGGAUAACAGGUUGAUAUUCCUGUACCACCUAUAAUCGUUUUAAUCGAUGGGGGGACGCAGUAGGAUAGGCGAAGCGUGCGAUUGGAUUGCACGUCUAAGCAGUAAGGCUGAGUAUUAGGCAAAUCCGGUACUCGUUAAGGCUGAGC